UUCCCGCAGCCGGCGUGGGGUGCGCCAGAGUUGGGCCACGCCAGGCACCCAUAGCCGCACUCCCGAAGCCUCGGUGGAGCCGAAGCUACCACAGAGUGCGUGUUCACAAAGAGUCACCACACACGGAGCUGCCCCGCCCUGUCCCCCUAAAACCCCCUUGGAGGCCAGGGGCUUUACUGGGGUUCUGGGUGUUCUCUUUUCCUCCUUCCCAGAUCUUCUAACGUGGUAAUCAGAAUGAGGUGAACUAGAUGGCUAGUGAAGGUCAUUUACCUCACUGAUACAGUUCAUAGGCCCAAAGGAGCUAAAAACCAUCACUGGCAGAACCUUUUGAUCCUGAGAGACAUCUUAUCAUAACUCAGUGGAAACAUUGAGAAGCGAGCAUAUUUCUGGACAAAGAAGGACUCCUCUCAUCAGAAUUUCACCAACAAAUUAGUAACCACAGUAGAUGUGAAGACAACAGCGUGGAAUGUUGCUAAAGGGGGCUCCUAGAGAGACCGUGGUGAGUCACACUGUGAGGGACACUUGGAAGAAAUGUUCCUGAUAUAAACAAUGCAUUUUGAAGAAUAAGAAAUGGAAUCCUGAAAGUCAGGAUAGCAAGGAGGGAGAGGCGUGGUUAAGGCGGGAUGGAGGAGACUUGAUCUCUCAAUCAAUAAGCAUUUGUUAAGCACUUACUAUAUGCCUAAGGUUGCGUGAGGUGCUGUGGAAGCUACAAAAACCUUGUAAUAACUCCUUUUCCUGGGGAGCUUCAAAGCCUUCUCGAGAGGAGCUAGAUCUUACUCUGAGAAAUAACCAGCAGCAAGCAACAUAAAAGGAAAUAUAACUGAGCUGCUAAGCCAGUGCAUACGUAGCAACAAGCGGUAUUUUCACACAAGCUGAGUGAUGAGCCUCUAGAAGCCAUGGCAGAGAAAACAACAAGGUCAGGAGGACCAAAAAAAAAAAAAAAAUUCAUAGCUUAAAAGGAAUCGGCAGACCAGUACUGGUAAGUUUAGUAACAGAUUCCCGAGGGAUUUAGCCUUUCUUUUUUUCUCAGAGGUUUAUUUGUGAAACACUUUUAUAUAUAUUAAUCUCAUUUUAGCCUUGACACAAUCCAGCAAGGGAGGCGUGGUGGGGAUUUAAAAGGGGGAAAGGAUUUGAGAGAGAUUUAUGAUGUCGAAAACAGCAGGAUUUUAUGAUCAAUUAAUCUUCUGGUUAAGGGUGAGGGGAGAGUCCAGGAUGACCACCCCCACUCACUCGUUGGCUCAUUAAAUUGCUCACACGACAAAUACUUGUUGGGCAUUUAUCAUGUGCCUGUUUGUGCACUGACUCUAGGCUUCCAGAUUCCUGCCUGGCACCAUGAGGUGGACGCCGAUGCCGUCACAGGAGGCAGGAUAUGGGGGAAGAAGAGUGAGCCUGGUGGUGGUUCAGGCUUCAGGGAAGUCGGGCGUGGGGCUGGGGAGGGCUGUGAGCCAGCCGGGAGACACUGACAAGCUGGCAAUUUUACAGAAAAGUUUGGCUUUCUCCGGACCAAGGUCUGGGACAAGAAAUAGACUAUUAUUAGGCAAUAGGUGAGAGUUGAAACUGAGAAUGGAUUAGAUAACCUCCACAGAUCUCCGUUAAGAUAUUUAACAAUACAGGGCUUCAGUUUCCUACUGUGGGAAAUGAAGAUGAUAGUGCCACAUCUCCGGAUUAUCUUAGCUCCAGUGACUGUGAGUGGGUCCUGAGUACAGCAGUGUCUUACAUGUGUUGAAUAUAGAUUGCUGA